rnacentral:rRNA from 1 species
AGAGUUUGAUCCUGGCUCAGAACGAACGCUGGCGGCGUGCUUAACACAUGCAAGUCGCGUGCGCAGUUUCCGUAGCAAUACGGGGAUCGGCGCACGGCGCACGGGUGCGUAACACGUGGGCAAUCUGCCCUCCGAUGGGGAAUACCCCCGCGAAAGCGGGACUAAUUCCGCAUAACAUUCCUUGGAUUAACUUUCGAGGAUUCAAAGCAGCAAUGCGUCGGAGGAGGAGCCCGCGCCCGAUUAGCUAGUUGGUGAGGUAACGGCUCACCAAGGCAAUGAUCGGUAGCUGGUCUGAGAGGAUGGCCAGCCACACUGGAACUGAGACACGGUCCAGACUCCUACGGGAGGCAGCAGUGGGGAAUCUUGCACAAUGGGCGAAAGCCUGAUGCAGCGACGCCGCGUGGGGGAUGAAGCUUUUCGGAGUGUAAACCCCUUUCGACUGGGACGAAUGCCCGCAAGGGAGUGACGGUACCAGGAUAAGAAGCCCCGGCUAACUACGUGCCAGCAGCCGCGGUAAGACGUAGGGGGCCAGCGUUGUUCGGAAUUACUGGGUGUAAAGGGUUCGUAGGCGGUGCGGCAAGUUGGGAGUGAAAUCUCUGGGCUCAACCCAGAGGCUGCUUCCAAAACUGCUGUGCUUGAGUGUGAGAGAGGCUCGUGGAAUUGCAGGUGUAGCGGUGAAAUGCGUAGAUAUCUGCAGGAACACCCGUGGCGAAAGCGGCGAGCUGGAUCACUACUGACGCUGAGGAACGAAAGCUAGGGGAGCAAACAGGAUUAGAUACCCUGGUAGUCCUAGCCCUAAACGAUCAGGACUUGGGGUGCCGCCCGUUCGGGCGUCGUCCCGGGGCUAACGCGUUAAGUCCUGCACCUGGGGAGUACGGUCGCAAGACUGAAACUCAAAGGAAUUGACGGGGGCCCGCACAAGCGGUGGAACAUGUGGUUCAUUCGACGCUACGCGAGGAACCUUACCUGGCUCGAAAUGCUAGUGACCAGCUGUAGA